rnacentral:tRNA from 1 species
GUAGUGGUCAUUCAGCGGUAGAACUCUUGCCUUCCACACAGGAAAUCCAGGUUUGAUUCCUGGCCAGUGCA